AUUGAACGCUGGCGGCAUGCCUUACACAUGCAAGGUCGAACGGCAGCACGGGAGCAAUCCUGGUGGCGAGUGGCGAACGGGUGAGUAAUAUAUCGGAACGUGCCCGGUCGUGGGGGAUAACGUAGCGAAAGCUACGCUAAUACCGCAUACGAUCUACGGAUGAAAGCGGGGGAUCGCAAGACCUCGCGCGAUUGGAGCGGCCGAUAUCAGAUUAGGUAGUUGGUGAGGUAAAGGCUCACCAAGCCGACGAUCUGUAGCUGGUCUGAGAGGACGACCAGCCACACUGGGACUGAGACACGGCCCAGACUCCUACGGGAGGCAGCAGUGGGGAAUUUUGGACAAUGGGCGCAAGCCUGAUCCAGCAAUGCCGCGUGCAGGAUGAAGGCCUUCGGGUUGUAAACUGCUUUUGUACGGAACGAAACGGUGAGCUCUAAUACAGUUUGCUAAUGACGGUACCGUAAGAAUAAGCACCGGCUAACUACGUG
rnacentral:rRNA from 1 species